rnacentral:lncRNA from 1 species
AGCCCGCCUCGCCACGGCUGGGCGCUCGCUGAAGAGUUGAGGCUGCGCCUCUGCCGGCCACAUGGCGUGUUACCUGGUCAUCAGCUCCAGACACCUCAGCAAUGGGCACUACCGGGGCAUUAAAGGAGUCUUCCGAGGGCCCCUCUGCGAGAACGGAUCUCCCUCUCCGCACUCCAGCCCCUCUGGUCUUCAUUCUUUCAAAAAUAGCAAGCUUACUCCCGCUGUCUCUUUAGAAUGUUCUGAUUUUACUGCCUCGUCUCGACAUGGAUGGUGCUUCCUUUCAGUCAUGUCUCUGGAGCUAUUCAAGAAAUCUGUAACCUUCCCAGAAGUCUUUGUUCAACUCUGGAAUGAGCGUAGAUCAUCACAAGGACAGUCCAUCGCUGGUAUACACAGACAAACCAAAGGGCCAGAGUGGGGCUCCCUGCACC